UCAGCAUCUCAGCCUUUUAGCUAAGAUCAAGCCUUUUUGGCACAAAACAGAAGGUGUUCGGGUUGACUCUGUCCCUCCAAGUGCUGACCUGAUGUUGAAGUACCUCCAGUGCUAAUUUCCUGUGGAGGAAAUACCUGCCUAUUUUUUUUAGGGUCAAAAAAAAAAGGUUCCUAUCAGCAUUUUUGAUACCAGGAGAAGGUAUCAGAGCUAGCUCUGGCAUCUUUAAGUGCUGACCUGGUAUUGCUGUACCUCCAGGCUCGGUACUCAUUCC
rnacentral:snRNA from 1 species